rnacentral:rRNA from 1 species
GACGAACGCUGGCGGCGUGCUUAACACAUGCAAGUCGAACGGAAAGGCCCUGCUUUUGUGGGGUGCUCGAGUGGCGAACGGGUGAGUAACACGUGAGUAACCUGCCCUUGACUUUGGGAUAACUUCAGGAAACUGGGGCUAAUACCGGAUAGGAGCUCCUGCUGCAUGGUGGGGGUUGGAAAGUUUCGGCGGUUGGGGAUGGACUCGCGGCUUAUCAGCUUGUUGGUGGGGUAGUGGCUUACCAAGGCUUUGACGGGUAGCAGGCCUGAGAGGGUGACCGGCCAAAUUGGGACUGAGAUACGGCCCAGACUCCUACGGGAGGCAGCAGUGGGGAAUAGUGCACAAUGGGCGGAAGCCUGAUGCAGCAAAGCCGCGUGCGGGAUGACGGCCUUCGGGUUGUAAACCGCUUUCGCCUGUGACGAAGCGUGAGUGACGGUAAUGGGUAAAGAAGCACCGGCUAACUACGUG